rnacentral:rRNA from 1 species
AGCGAACGUUAGCGGCGGGCCUAACACAUGCAAGUCGUACGAGAACGCUCCUUCGGGAGUUAUUAAAGUGGCGCACGGGUGAGGAACGCGUAGGUAAUCUACCCUCAGGCGGGGGACAACACUCCGAAAGGAAUGCUAAUACCGCGUAAGACCACACUUACUAAGGUGAGAGUGGUAAAAGAUGGCCUCUUCUUGAAAGCUAUCACCAGAGGAUGAGCCUGCGUCCCAUCAGCUUGUUGGUAAGGUAACGGCUUACCAAGGCGAAGACGGGUAGCUGGUCUGAGAGGAUGAUCAGCCACACUGGCACUGGAACACGGGCCAGACUCCUACGGGAGGCAGCAGUGAGGAAUAUUGGGCAAUGGGCGCAAGCCUGACCCAGCCACGCCGCGUGUGUGAUGAAGGCCUUCGGGUCGUAAAGCACUGUGGGGAGGGACGAAAAAACCUCCGUUCGAAUAGGGCGGAGGCUUGACGGUACCUCCUUAGCAAGCACCGGCUAACUCUGUG